ensembl:lncRNA
GUUCCUGCCAGAGCUUGCAUUCCCUUGGCAAUAUUUCUCACCAACUCCCUUGUGCCUCCAUGUUAUGCUAAGGCAUUAGAGAAGGAUAGCAGCUAGGCCUAAAUGUCGUUGUGACCCCAAGAGUGUACUUUGGAACCUACCUGCUUUUUGGAACCUACCUGCUUUUUGGAACCUACAUGCUUUUUGGAGGAGAUUUUAUGUAAGUGGUUGGGAAAAUCAAAGCUGAUAGGCCAUGGAGGGAAAAAAAGGCUAAGCUAUCUUAAUGAAGGGGAAGAGGAGGGAGGGAGGAGGGCAAUGGGAAGAAGGGAAGGGGGGUGGCAAGGGGGUACCAAAAGGGAAAAGAGUCAAGAGGAAGAAGAUGGAGAAAGGAUGAGAGAGAAGAUAGAGACCAAAGAAGAGAUAAAAGAAGACAGAGAAGAAAAAACAAGGAGAAAAGAAGGGACCAAUAUUUUACAUUGCCAUGAAACACCCAACCUUCAAACCUGUCAGUAUGCUCCCAUACCCUUUCCAAACGGUGAAACAGAUGGGAUUUCAGAAUCACAUUCUCAGACACCUCCAUAAGUCAGAUUUACUUGGUUCCAGUUUUCAUCAGCAACCAACCUUGGCUAACCCUUGCUCAAAUGACAAAUAUGGAUCUUUCUCGCCCUCAACCUGUGACUCUUUUCAUCAACACAACCCAGCAGAUCAUCUCCAGGGAUUUCCAAUGUUUGGGGGACAUAACAGACAAGAACCUUCUUCCUCAGCUUUGCUGACCCAGAAUUUCAUGUUCCAGGUUAAAAUUAAAGUUGGUGAUCAGAAGAUGUUUUAA